ensembl:lncRNA
GCUGCUAACUGAAGUGCCAAGUAUGCUAUAAUAGGCAGCAGAUGAAGGCACUGAAAUGGAGCUUGAUUUUCAGCACUGUGCUGCGUUUACAACAGUCACCCAACACAAGGGUGCUCCGUAGAUUUGAACACUGAAGUAAUGCACUGUGGAUAUCAAGAAAGCGAGAAAGCAAGACCAGGAAGAAAGAAGCAAGAGUGAAAAUUAAUCAUUCCUUCGCCACAGAAAGGCCUCCCAGUGUUGCAGUUAUUUUAUAGUCACGCUCUCUUCAAAAACCUGUAGUGCAUUCCUUACUGGGAAAGGUAUCACCAGCUGCAGGUUUGCCCUCCUGCAAGCUCCACCUUGCUUGGGACAGGCAGCUUCCAGGAACGUGUAACGUCAAACAAAACCAAAAAGGGCUUCUGGAAAACAGUCCUGGGUAACUACCUUUUGCAUGGAAUGGACACAACUUUGUUAGCAAUCAAUCAGGCAGCAAGGGCACAUGCAUUUUGUGCUCGUGACACGCAGGAUGUUGGUAUCCAGAGAAUUUUCAGGGAGCAUGAGAAAGUGGAGGAGGACAGGAAGAAGGCUAGAGGGAACAAGCAGAGAAGUCAGAAAUAGAAGAUAACAAAGGAUGUAUCAGAAAUCCCAGUCAAGGCUACUACUUGUUCAUACGCUUCCAGCACCUAUACAAACUAAAAAAUUAAAUUAACUCUUGAGCCUUGAGUGAGCUCUGGACCACACAUCUCAGAACUGGCUGGGGUAACUGAGGGAGUGCCCAGCAGAGGACACACUGCUCUCAGCAGAAACCUGGGCUCACACAUCACUGUCUUCCCAUGGCCUGGCAAAUGCAGUGCUACAUAUUUUCUUCCGGAAAGCAAAGGCAAACAGGCCAGAUUUCAGGAAUGGGUUUGGUCAGGGGGGUCUUCUCUUUAACUCCCCUUGGUGGCUUCCAAGCAAGCUGCUCCUGUGUGUCACAAGACAUUGUGGCGGGUGGGGCCAAGGCAGCAUGACCUGUGUGUUUAUGCACCCACGGGUCUGAUUAUCCAUCUUAGAAUCACCAGGAGCCGCAGGUUGUAGCAGGCCAAGGAGGCUAGAGCUCAAGCCCUGUAUUCAUCUGCUGUGGGGCAAGCUCUAGACGGAGCAGUGCUUGGGUCAUAGCCAUAGGCCGUGAUGACCUUGCUGGAGCACCGCUGAGGGAAGCAGUGCUGGAGAGAAAGGCUUCUCCUCCUGCUGUAGCACCCAUGUCUUCUGUGCUCACUGAGGUGCCUGGCACAAGCAGAUUUGUUCUGCAGGCCUCUGGCACUGCUGCCAACAGAGUUACUCCUGACUCCUUCCCCGUGAGGGAAGAAAGGAGCUUGCCAGGCGUUUAAAAAGGGCCUUCCGGCUACCAAAGCAAAACACAGUUUCUGCUGGGAUGGUCUGGUAAUCCACAAACACAGAGUAGCUGAUCAUCUUCCUUUCUUUCUUUUUUUUUGUCACUUUACUCGUAUGAUCUACACCAGGCUGACCAAGACCCUGUGUACCUUCACCAGUAGCUCAGGGUAACCCCUAGGUGCCAUGGACCAGGGAGUGAGGAGUCACCAGGCCAGGAAGGGCUGCUGGCAUUCCCUGGGGCUGGAUCAAGACCUACCUGCCUUGGUAGGGAGAGCAAGGAGAAGGCCAGUGUUGAAUUGGAGGAGGAAAAACUGCUUUCUCAGGAGAACCUUCCUGGCUUCCCGCUGGUGCCAGCAGACAGGGACUCUUACAGAGAAGGCUGGGAGGCUGCAAGCCCUGCUGAGUGCCUUGCUCCAUUCCCCAAAUAGAAGUGCUCAGCAGUCACUGCUCCAAACAAGGUGCUUGGCAAAGGCAGCUGUUACUUGGCAGUCUGCCUGGUGCCCCGAAAUAACGCUGCUGGCUGAGAGUGAACCUGCUGCAUCACCACUGCUUUCAGGAAACCAAGCACCCCAUCGGGAUGGAUAAGCAAACAGAACACAGUCCUCCCCUUCCUACAGAGGUAGGGGUGAUUUCACUUUAACUGUAGCAUGCAAAAUGCAGAACAACUAGUGGAGAAGCUUUGCCAUUAAAUCAGCAUGAAUCUGGAGUGCC